UUUGAGACGAAUCAAGUCGAGCAGAGAGUUGAAUUUGAAGUUUUUUGAAGUUUGAAAGUGAUCAAUUUCGAGAUGAAUCAAGUUCGGGCAGAGAGUUGAGUUUGAAAUUUUUUGAAGUUUGAAAGUGAUCAAUUUCGAGAUGAAUCAAGUUCGGGCAGAGAGUUGAGUUUGAAAUUUUUUGAAGUUUGAAAGUGAUCAAUUUCGAGAUGAAUCAAGUUCGGGCAGAGAGUUGAGUUUGAAGUUU